GGACUCUUUUUGCAGCUGAUGUUGACAUUGAUUGCUGCAGAGGAAAACCUUAAAGCCUCUUCCCCAGAAGACUGUGCUUGGUGGUGCCCCCCGCACUCUACAUGUGUCAAUGACAGCGCCUGUCACUGCGCUCAGGGAUUCAGUUCUUCAUCUGGAAGGAUCAUCACCACAUUCUUCGAGAGAUGUGAUGUUCACCACCCAGUGACAACUCAGAUGAUCAGGACCCAGGAGAAUAUUGUGCCGGAUCAGAGUCGAAUGACAUGGAACAUCCCCAACACACACAAACUUGAAGAAUCUGGUCAACGGAAGAGACUCCCAGCUAGAACACAUGGCAACAGA